rnacentral:lncRNA from 1 species
CUGUCUGUAAUUAGCAAGGUAGCAAUUUGUAUUAUUGUAGCUUGUGGUAUGGGUGAGUGAUAGAUGAGUGAUAAGCUGACUGGGUGAAUAUAGUGUGGAACUGGGCUAUUGAGUGGAUGAUUUGUCAUUAAUCGCUGAGAGAGAAUCAUUGAACAUUCAGUUUGGGAAAGACUUGGUAGAAGUGUAAGAGACUUUGUGGAAGUUCGGGUUAUUGUUUAACCCAGCUUGUGUGGUAUCUGUUGAGACCAACAACGGGAUGAGCAGCGAGGGGCAAUGUUAGAGUUUGACCAGGUGAUUGGGCUGCGGAAUUAUGUGAAGAAGGGACGAGGAAACUGACGUUGAUGUUAAUUCAUGGAAGUUGGGUACAGCUGAAGUGGAAAUUGAAGUUCCACAUGUGGGCUACUUAUUAGCCAUGAUGUUGUGGUGGUGAAUAACAAGUGUAUUGUUAUCGUGCAGCAUCUCGGUGAAUAACAAGUGUAUUGUUAUUGUGCAGCAGAAACAUAUUGUGUAAAUAUGGCUGUAGUAUUUAGAGCUGAUUUGAAAUGGAGGGUGCUAACUAAUGUUAGUACAUAAUUUAGUUAGAACAAAAUAUGUAUAUAAAAGUUGAUCACGAGGAAGUGAAUCAUAAGGAUUGUGGUAUGAACUGAAACAUUUUAUAUUGAACUGUGUGGUUUUAGUAUAUUAUUUUGUGUGUUGUGAUACGUGAUAUUUUUAUAUGAAAUUAUGUGUAAAGUGGUGAUAAUGUAUGUUUAUUAUAUAUGAGAAGUGUGAGUGUUGAGGGAGUGCUGGUGAUUAGUGGUAUGUGAGAGGGAUAUAAUUAGGGUUAGUAAGUAGGAGUGGAGAAUGAAUGUGAUUGUUAUUUGUGUGCUGUAAAUAAAUGUAAUAUAAUUUA